rnacentral:rRNA from 1 species
UACGAAGGGGGCUAGCGUUGUUCGGAAUUACUGGGCGUAAAGCGCGCGCAGGCGGUCUUCCAAGUCAGUGGUGAAAGCCCGGAGCUCAACUCCGGAACUGCCAUUGAAACUGUUGGACUUGAGUACGAGAGAGGUGAGUGGAAUUCCCAGUGUAGAGGUGAAAUUCGUAGAUAUUGGGAAGAACACCGGUGGCGAAGGCGGCUCACUGGCUCGUAACUGACGCUCAGGCGCGACAGCGUGGGAGUCGAA